AACGUACUCCCUCCGUUCGGAAUUACUUGUCACAAAAAUGGAUGUAUCUACAACUAAAAUGCAUCUAGAUACAUUCAUUUUUUGGACGAGUAAUUCCGAACGGAGGGAGUAUAUA
rnacentral:pre_miRNA from 1 species